AAGUCGUAACAAGGUAACCGUAGGUGAACCUGCGGUUGGAUCAUUAUUGAUUAUAUGAUAAUAAUGGGUACUUUUUUUUUUUUCAAAAAAAAACUUACCCUAUUACCUUUUGUGAAUGUGUUAUUAAAAAGUCUUUGGGUUAGACUUUUUCUUAGAAGAAGUCUGCCUAAUAAAUUGAACCUAGAGUUUUUCAUUUAGUCUAAAAAACAUUUUUUUUCCUAAAAAGAAAAAACAACUUUUGACAAUGGAUCUCUUGGCUCUC
rnacentral:misc_RNA from 1 species